UACGUAGGGUGCAAGCGUUGUCCGGAAUUAUUGGGCGUAAAGAGCUCGUAGGCGGUUUGUCGCGUCUGCUGUGAAAAUCCAGGGCUUAACCCUGGACCUGCAGUGGGCACGGGCAGACUAGAGUGUGGUAGGGGAGAUCGGAAUUCCUGGUGUAGCGGUGGAAUGCGCAGAUAUCAGGAGGAACACCGGUGGCGAAGGCGGAUCUCUGGGCCAUAACUGACGCUGAGGAGCGAAAGCAUGGGGAGCGAACAGG
rnacentral:rRNA from 1 species